rnacentral:rRNA from 1 species
AGAGUUUGAUCCUGGCUCAGAUUGAACGCUGGCGGCAGGCCUAACACAUGCAAGUCGAGCGGUAGAGAGAAGCUUGCUUCUCUUGAGAGCGGCGGACGGGUGAGUAAUGCCUAGGAAUCUCCCUGGUAGUGGGGGAUAACGUUCGGAAACGGACGCUAAUACCGCAUACGUCCUACGGGAGAAAGCAGGGGACCUUCGGGCCUUGCGCUAUCAGAUGAGCCUAGGUCGGAUUAGCUAGUUGGUGGGGUAAUGGCUCACCAAGGCGACGAUCCGUAACUGGUCUGAGAGGAUGAUCAGUCACACUGGAACUGAGACACGGUCCAGACUCCUACGGGAGGCAGCAGUGGGGAAUAUUGGACAAUGGGCGAAAGCCUGAUCCAGCCAUGCCGCGUGUGUGAAGAAGGUCUUCGGAUUGUAAAGCACUUUAAGUUGGGGGGAAGGGUUGUAGAUUAAUACUCUGCAAUUUUGACGUUACCGACAGAAUAAGCACCGGCUAACUCUGUGCCAGCAGCCGCGGUAAUACAGAGGGUGCAAGCGUUAAUCGGAAUUACUGGGCGUAAAGCGCGCGUAGGUGGUUAGUUAAGUUGGAUGUGAAAUCCCCGGGCUCAACCUGGGAACUGCAUUCAAAACUGACUGACUAGAGUAUGGUAGAGGGUGGUGGAAUUUCCUGUGUAGCGGUGAAAUGCGUAGAUAUAGGAAGGAACACCAGUGGCGAAGGCGACCACCUGGACUGAUACUGACACUGAGGUGCGAAAGCGUGGGGAGCAAACAGGAUUAGAUACCCUGGUAGUCC